rfam:Ovis aries breed Texel chromosome 17, whole genome shotgun sequence.
UCUCAGGUGGCUCAGCAGGAAAGAAUCUGCCUGCCAAUGCAGAAGAUGCAGGUUCGAUCCCUGGCUUGGGAA